CCCCGCCCUCUGGGUUCUCUAUGAUUACCCUGCUCUGGUCUCCAAUAGGAGGCGUGGGGGAGCUCGAGGCCCCGCCCAGAGCCUGAUCAGCUGAUGGCUGGCAAUGUCUGUUGACAGCAGCAGCCUCCGCGGCAGGACUGGGUAUGUGAAUCCAAAUGGAGCACUCUGAAGGAGGAGACCAAAACCAGCAGCAACAGCCUUGGGGGAAGCUGAUCCGGUUAGGUGCUGAUGAAGCAGAGCCCCAUGUGUUACUGCUGAAAAGAGAAUGGACAAUUGGGCGGAAAAAAGGUUGUGACUUGUCCUUUCCUGGCAACAAACUGGUGUCUGGAGAUCACUGUAAGAUUACAGUGGAUGAAGAAUCUGGACAAGUAUCAUUGGAGGAUACCAGCACUAAUGGAACAGUAAUUAAUAAACUGAAAGUGGUUAAGAAGCAGACAUGCUCUUUGCAGACUGGGGAUGUGAUCUAUGUUGUUUACAGGAAGAAUGAGCCAGAAAACAAUGUUGCUUAUCUCUAUGAAUCCUUCAAUGCAAAACAAGAUGUAACACAAGAACCAGUAGAAGCUAAUGUAGAAAAUACUUGCCAUCUGACCAAAGAUACCUCACAUAUAGGAAGAAGUGAUGAUGGAACCCAAAUUACCUCAUCACUGCCAGCCACUCAGUCUUGCUAUGAGGAACCACAGCCAUCUACUUCUACAUCUAACCUCUUUAAUGCUUCUUCUACCUCUCUUAUCGAGCGGGCAUCUGCUGAGCAGGAUAAUCCUUCAACAUCUGGAUCACAGUCCUCUGUUUUCAUUCCUGUGCCUGCUUUCCCCACUCUAGAACCUAGGUGUCCUGGAGCAUCACAUGAAGAACAAGGACAGCUGUAUGCAAAUAGUGAAACUUCCACUAUCACUUCAAAUAUCAUUGAUAAAGAGAAAAAUGAAAGUUCUACAUCAGAGCCUCAAAGGGAAGAGGAGGAGGACUUGGAGCCUGCAAAGAAGAAAAUAAAAGGAGAUGAGAAUGCUAGUCCAUACCUUCAGAUGACCGCUCCAAAUCAAUGUAUAAUUAAAGCUGGAUCUGAAGGUGCAAAAACAACAAAUGUGAAACCAGACAAAAUGGAAGAAACACUCACUUGCAUUAUCUGCCAGGAAUUGCUGCAUGACUGUGUCAGCUUGCAGCCCUGCAUGCACACCUUCUGUGCUGCCUGCUACUCAGGGUGGAUGGAACGGUCUUCUCUCUGUCCAACUUGCCGUUGUCCAGUUGAACGUAUCUGUAAGAACCAUAUACUGAAUAACUUGGUUGAAGCCUAUCUAAUCCAACAUCCAGAUAAGUGUCGUAAUGAAGAGGAUGUACGUAGUAUGGAUGCCAGAAACAAAAUCACUCAAGACAUGCUGCAGCCUAAAGUGCGAAGGUCAUUUUCAGAUGAAGAAGGAAGUUCUGAGGAUCUGCUGGAACUGUCGGAUGUAGAUAGUGAAUCCUCCGAUAUCAGUCAGCCUUAUAUAGUGUGCAGACAGUGCCCAGGAUAUCGGCGACACUCCAUUCCGCCACUUCCUUGCCCAGGCCAAGAGGGGGAAGCAGGAGGAUUGCAAGCAUUGGGAGAUGCACCAUCGACGUCUGCUAACUUUCCUGCAACUGUCCAGGAGUAUGUUUGUCCUUCUCAAGGAAGUCAUGUAAUAUGCACGUGCUGUUUUCAACCAAUGCCAGACCGAAGAGCAGAGCGUGAACAGAAUCCCAAUAUUGCCCCUCAGCAAUGCACAGUUUGUCUACAGCCGUUCUGUCACUUGUACUGGGGCUGCACUCGGAUGGCAUGUUUUGGCUGCUUGGCACCAUUCUGUGAAAUAAAUCUUGGUGACAAGUGUUUAGAUGGAAUCCUAAACAACAACCAUUAUGAGUCGGAUAUUCUAAAGGAAUACCUGGCAUUCAGGGGUUUUACAUGGAAAAACAUGUUAAAUGAAAGUCUCUUAGCUCUUCAAAGAGAAGUUUUUAUGCUGUCAGAUUACAGAAUUACUGGGAACACAGUGCUUUGUUAUUGUUGUGGCCUCCGCAGCUUCCGAGAGCUCGCCUACCAGUAUAGGCAGAAUAUUCCUGCUGCUGAAUUGCCAGUGACUGUCACAUCACGUCCUGAUUGCUACUGGGGGCGCAAUUGCCGGACUCAGGUUAAAGCACACCAUGCUAUAAUUGAAAUUUAUUCCUAGGUUCAUGGACCGUGGAACAUCUGUUGGUCCAAUUUCAAAUUUAGUUUAGGUGCUUUGAUGUACAUCUGCGAGAGUUAUCUGUAGCACUGGGCUGCAUUGUUGUUGCUAGGGGGCAUUUUGAUGCGCUUGGGAGCUGAUUCAGUGUCAAAACAACUGCCAGACUUUCCUAUUCAGAUUGAAGUUGGGUUUUUUGUAUCCCUCUGGAAUAGGAAUUGAAGGAAGCUUUAGUGAUAAUUCAGUGCUCUUUCUUCAAGCGUUAGCUGUACAUAGAACUUUGGACAAGCUUCUAGUUCCAGAAACCCAUGAAACAAAACAGUCCUGACACACCACUCUUACACACCACACACCUUCUGCAUGAGGCAGAGCUAGUCUGCUAACUGGUGUGGGUUUGAGACCAGAUUCUUAUUAAAUAAGAGGGCUGAGAGCCUCAGGCCUUCUACUCAUCUCCUGCAAACAUCUACACGCUCAACUCUCAACUUGUGCCUUAAAUACAUGUUGGGGCACUGAACCCAUCAGGGAGAACACAAGAACAGACAAGUACUUGACAGAAAUUCAAUCACAUUUGUGAACAAACACGUUUCAAGAACUGAACUUUCUGAAAUUGAAGCUGUCUGAAUAUUUGUAGUCUUUAGAGAGGGGAUGAAAGCCCGAAAUACUGAUCACAUAGGAAAUGUUUUCAGGGGAUUUUCAUUAUUCCCUCACAGCAGGGAGUUAAUAACUUUUUCAUCAGGUACUCUGGUGUGACCUUUUUAAUUUGUAGAGUUUAACAGUUUAUAUAUGAGUAAGCGAGAACCUUUUGAAAGAAAAUCUGACAAGCAUUGCAUUCCAUCCUCAUUAUUACAGUGUUACUAUUUCACUAUACUUAAAUCAAGUAAUAGCAGCCAUACAUUGGAGGUCCUAACAAUAAUCAGUAAGGAGUGUAUUUGCACUAAAUGUGUCUGAAAAUAAGAGAAACCUUUAAAUUAAAAUGGAAAUGCUCUGUACCGGUAACUUAAUAUCAAAGGAGGAAACUCAGCACAUGUUCAGACUUGUCCACUGCUAUCUUGUCAUUAGCAUUGCAGUUAGGAUGGAAAUCUAUUAAAGUUCACUUUCACAAAACAGUACGGUGAUCUGGUAUACAUUCCAUCAGAAUGGUUUUGUAUUAAUUUUUUUUCCCUAUUCAUUAAACAAACAACAGCUUCAGCUUACAGCUCCAAAUCAGAACAGUGCUUUGCAGGAACGCUAUAAAGGAAAACAUUUUUUUUUAGUUUAGUAAUAUUGAUGUUUUUUUACCAUUAGAAUUAAAUAACUCAAACAGUUGCACAAACAUUUACAAAUCAGACUCAAAUUUGGGAUAGUAAUUGCUUAUGAAUAAGCUUCUGCUUUUAAUAACUGUUUAGCAAUUUUAUAUCAAACUAAACCAUUAUUGACAUAGAGCAGACAGUAAGACAAGUUGGUGCAAUUUUUUAAAUUUAUUUUUUGGUGUGAUGUCGUACGUUAGCUAGGCAUGUAGUUUUUAUCUUGCAGCUGUGCUCUAACGUGUGCACAUCGGUAAAAGCAUAGAAAAGCUGCCAGUUCUACAGAAUAUAACAGAUUUACAAGAAAGAACAAAUGUUACCUAUGAAAAGGUCCACCACAGAUGAACUUUAGCAAUAUGGAGAAAUUCUUUUGAUGUGGGAGAGAUUUUAAGGGGAACACUGGUGUCUCUAACGUUGAGUAUGUAGACUUAAUUUUUCACUCAUCUAUUUUUUGCUUAAUUAUGUUCAGAACAUUUCCUGAGCAUCAUAAAAAUGUGAUGUAGUCAUAAAUAUUUCCUAGUCAUUUGUCAACUAACGUUCACAUGCUUGACUUGGACCAGCUUUUCAUAAGUAUCAUGCCCAGGAGAGCAAAGUAGAAUGGGCAGAAAGAGUACAAAGUUACCUCUGUAUAUAUCAUGUUUUACGUAUGCCUUCUUUUGCAAGCAAGAUUUAUACUUCAACAUAAAAAAACCACUCUAUGCUAUGUGUUAUAGUGCAGCACAGGAUGAUGUAGCACAUUGUAUCUGUUAGUCAAUUAAUUAAAAAAAUACAAUACUGCACAUGUUAAUAUAAAUGCUAAUUAAAAAUAAUGGAUUUCUGUUCAUAUUUUAAUUUUAAAAGUAGCUGCAGCAGUGAUGGGUCUGUUGGUAAUAUCCAUAAUGCUGUUAAAAGUACACUUGGGUGUGGACUUCUCUUCCUAAUCUCUGGGCAUUUCCUCCAGUGAGUAGGGUUGAAAUCAGAUCUGGAAUAAUACUUGAAACUUGUUAACAAAACUUUCUGUCUACCUUUUAUUAUUACUAACAAUGUUCUGUUGCAUCUGUAUUCAUAUUUUAUGUUUAGAAAGAUUGAUUUUUUUAAUGGUUACUAUAUCUUCUCAGGACAGCCAUUCCCAGCUGUUUGGUCUCAAUUUCAACUCUGGCUGUGCAUGUAAGCAAAUUGCAUGUAUUUGUGGAAAGAGAGCCUUUGCACAUUACAUGUAGAAAUGUGAUUUGCGUUCUCACUCAGUACUUUCCAUGCUCCACAUUGGCUUUUAGCAUAGGCUUGUCACUAUGCUAAUGUUCAAGUCCCAAAUGUGCUGAAUUUUUGUGGAGUAAGAAUAACGUCUACAACCCUAUGUACAACUUCUCUUGCACCUGCACAAGCUGUUGGGACAUAUGUGACACAUUAUGUGACAUGUUAAAAAUCUACAACAUUCUCAAGUACUUGACAUCCAAACUACCUGUAUAGUAGAGGUUCCUUAUAUACCUUUUAUGUACCCCUCUCUUCCCCCCUCCCCAAUAGAGAAUAAAUAUGCCUUUCUAUGCAUAGGGGGUUGAAGUAGUGCAAUGGAAUGAGAAGUUUUUUGUGAUUAUAUUGUACUUGGAAGAGCUGAGAGAUUAACUUGCAAAUGGGGAGGGUGAAUAAAUCCUGAUCUUUAUAUGCUCUUAAGUAACUAAGAGCAUCUGUCAUGGGUAUUACAUACUCUUAUACAUUAGUCCUUUUAAAAUGUAUGGUUGCCAGGUGAUAUUUAGAUAAUGUGAUAACUGUAUAAACUAUACUUGGUGUAAUUGUUUAAAUACUGUAAAGGUGCACCAUAUUUUUAACCUGUCUAAAGCAUACCCCCACCCUCUUUAUAAGAGACAUUUGGGAGCUGAGCAUGGAACCUUGUAGAAUAGAUGUUGUGAAAACAAGGGUGAUUAUGAUAGGGUUUAAUGUAGUGGUGAAUAAGAUACAGUCUCCUUCUGUGAGAAGGUUCUUUUAUAAAGAAGGUGGAAUGCAGUUCUUCCAAUUCUUUUUGUGAUUUCCUGGAUUAAAAAGUUAUUAAAAAAAUUACCCACUGAA